GGCUACAACCAUGCCACCCUGAACGUGCCCAAUCUCUUCUGAUCUUGGAAACUAAGUAGGGUCGGGCCCGGUUAGUAAUUGGAUGGGAGACCACGUUGGAAUACCAGGUGCUGUAGGCA
rnacentral:rRNA from 1 species